CCUACGGGAGGCAGCAGUGGGGAAUAUUGGGCAAUGGACGCAAGUCUGACCCAGCAACGCCGCGUGAAGGAAGAAGGCUUUCGGGUUGUAAACUUCUGUUAAGGGGGAAGAGCAGAAGACGGUACCCCUUGAAUAAGCCACGGCUAACUACGUGACAGCAGCCGCGGUAAUACGUAGGUGGCAAGCGUGGUCCGGAUUUACUGGGUGUAAAGGGCGUGCAGCCGGAGAGACAAGUCAGUUGUGAAAUCCACGGGCUCAACCCGUGAACUGCAUUUGAAACUGUUUCCCUGGAGUGUCGGAGAGGUAAGCGGAAUUCCUUGUGUAGCGGUGAAAUGCGUAGAUAUAAGGAAGAACACCAGUGGCGAAGGCGAAUUACUGGACGAUAACUGACGGUGAGGCGCGAAAGCGUGGGGAGCAAACAGGAUUAGAUACCCCUGUAGUC
rnacentral:rRNA from 1 species